rnacentral:rRNA from 1 species
GGGGUCCCCGACCUCCGAGUUGUAAUUUGGAGAGGCAUCUUCGGGGGGGAGCGCCGGCCCAUGUUCCUUGGGACAGGACGUCACAGAGGGUGAGAAUCCCGUGCCUGGCCGGCUGCCUCCUCCCGGGUGGAGGGCCUUCGACGAGUCGAGUUGUUUGGGAAUGCAGCUCCAAGUGGGUGGUAAAUUUCAUCUAAAGCUAAAUACCGGCGGGAGACCGAUAGCGCACAAGUAGAGUGAUCGAAAGAUGAAAAGCACUUUGAAAAUAGAGUCAAAAAGUACGUGAAAUUGUUGAAAGGGAAGCGCUUGAGACCAGACUCGGGCCUGGGCAAACAUCGCGCCCCUCGGGGCCGUGCAAUUGCCCGGGCCUGGGCCAGCAUCAGUUGGCGUGGCGGGACAAAGGCGCGGGGAAUGUGGCUCCCCUCGGGGAGUGUUAUUAGGCCCGCGCUCAAUGCCGCCGACGCCGACUGAGGACCGCGCCUCGGCUAGGAUGCUGGCUUAAUGGCCUUCAGCGACCCGUCUUGAAACACGGACCAAGGAGUCUAACAUCUAUGCGAGUGUUUGGGCGACAAACCCUUGCGCGGAAUGAAAGUGAGCGGAGGUGGGAACCCCCCCGCGGGGCGC